rnacentral:rRNA from 1 species
AUGCACGCUGGCGGCGUGCCUAAUCCAUGCAAGUCGAACGCUUCACUUCGGUGAAGAGUGGCGAACGGGUGAGUAAUACAUAAGUAACCUGGCAUCUACAGGGGGAUAACUGAUGGAAACGUCAGCUAAGACCGCAUAGGUGUAGAGAUCGCAUGAACUCUAUAUGAAAAGUGCUACGGGACUGGUAGAUGAUGGACUUAUGGCGCAUUAGCUUGUUGGUAGGGUAACGGCCUACCAAGGCGACGAUGCGUAGCCGACCUGAGAGGGUGACCGGCCACACUGGGACUGAGACACGGCCCAGACUCCUACGGGAGGCAGCAGUAGGGAAUUUUCGGCAAUGGGGGAAACCCUGACCGAGCAACGCCGCGUGAAGGAAGAAGUAAUUCGUUAUGUAAACUUCUGUCAUAGAGGAAGAACGGUGGAUAUAGGGAAUGAUAUCCAAGUGACGGUACUCUAUAAGAAAGCCACGGCUAACUACGUG